rnacentral:lncRNA from 1 species
GUCGCUGACGCCUCGUAUUCCAAAUAAUCGACCUUCUUCUUUUUCAAAAAGGAAUCAAAGAUUAUUCUUCUUCUUAUAUAAUUCUCAUGUAUGUGAAUACGAAUCUAUUUUCGUCUUUAUACGUAACCAAUCUUCUCAUUUACGAUCAACAGCUUCUGGAGCUCUUCUUGAACGAAUAUAUUUCUAUGGAAAAAUAGAACGUCUUGUAGACGUCUUUGUUAAGAAUUUUUAGACCAAUCUAUGUUUGUUCAAGGAUCCU